rnacentral:rRNA from 1 species
GAACGCUGGCGGCGUGCCUAAUACAUGCAAGUCGAACGCUUCUUUUUCCACCGGAGCUUGCUCCACCGGAAAAAGAGGAGUGGCGAACGGGUGAGUAACACGUGGGUAACCUGCCCAUCAGAAGGGGAUAACACUUGGAAACAGGUGCUAAUACCGUAUAACAAUCAAAACCGCAUGGUUUUGAUUUGAAAGGCGCUUUCGGGUGUCGCUGAUGGAUGGACCCGCGGUGCAUUAGCUAGUUGGUGAGGUAACGGCUCACCAAGGCCACGAUGCAUAGCCGACCUGAGAGGGUGAUCGGCCACAUUGGGACUGAGACACGGCCCAAACUCCUACGGGAGGCAGCAGUAGGGAAUCUUCGGCAAUGGACGAAAGUCUGACCGAGCAACGCCGCGUGAGUGAAGAAGGUUUUCGGAUCGUAAAACUCUGUUGUUAGAGAAGAACAAGGAUGAGAGUAACUGUUCAUCCCUUGACGGUAUCUAACCAGAAAGCCACGGCUAACUACGUGCCAGCAGCCGCGGUAAUACGUAGGUGGCAAGCGUUGUCCGGAUUUAUUGGGCGUAAAGCGAGCGCAGGCGGUUUCUUAAGUCUGAUGUGAAAGCCCCCGGCUCAACCGGGGAGGGUCAUUGGAAACUGGGAGACUUGAGUGCAGAAGAGGAGAGUGGAAUUCCAUGUGUAGCGGUGAAAUGCGUAGAUAUAUGGAGGAACACCAGUGGCGAAGGCGGCUCUCUGGUCUGUAACUGACG